GUCCCUGUAGCGCAAAAGAUAGCCCGUUGGAAUUCUAAUCCAAAAGUCGUGAGUUAAAAUCCCAUCAAGGAUA